GACGAACGCUGGCGGCGUGCCUAAUACAUGCAAGUCGAGCGGACGAAUCGAAAGCUUGCUUUUGAUUCGUUAGCGGCGGACGGGUGAGUAACACGUGGGCAACCUGCCCUGUAGACGGGGAUAACACCGAGAAAUCGGUGCUAAUACCGGAUAACACGAAAUGUCGCAUGACGUUUCGUUGAAAGACGGCGCACGCUGCCGCUACAGGAUGGGCCCGCGGCGCAUUAGCUAGUUGGUGAGGUAACGGCUCACCAAGGCGACGAUACGUAGCCGACCUGAGAGGGUGAUCGGCCACACUGGGACUGAGACACGGCCCAGACUCCUACGGGAGGCAGCAGUAGGGAAUCUUCCGCAAUGGACGAAAGUCUGACGGAGCAACGCCGCGUGAGCGAAGAAGGCCUUCGGGUCGUAAAGCUCUGUUGUUAGGGAAGAACAAGUAACGCAGUAACUGGCGUUACCGUGACGGUACCUAACGAGAAAGCCACGGCUAACUACGUG
rnacentral:rRNA from 1 species